rnacentral:misc_RNA from 1 species
GAUGAAGAACGUAGCGAAAUGCGAUAAGUAAUGUGAAUUGCAGAAUUCAGUGAAUCAUCGAAUCUUUGAACGCACCUUGCACCCUUUGGCAUUCCGAAGGGUAUGCUCGUUUGAGUGUCAUUGUACUCUCACACUCUCCGAUCCUAUGGAUUCGGGGAGCGGUGGACUUGGGUGUUGCUGCCUUUCCCUGUGGCUCACCUCAAAUGCGUCAGUGCACCUCUUGGUUGGACAUAGUACGGCGUGAUAAGUGUCUUCGCCGGCACCUCGCAAGAGGGUGGCCGAUCGGGAGCUCUGCGCUUUCAAACCGUCUUCGGACAAUUUCUGACACCUUGACCUCAAAUCGAGUAGGACUACCCGCUGAACUUAAGCAUAUCAAUAAGCGGAGGA